rnacentral:rRNA from 1 species
GAUGAACGCUGGCGGCGUGCCUAAUACAUGCAAGUCGAGCGAACAGACGAGGAGCUUGCUCCUCUGACGUUAGCGGCGGACGGGUGAGUAACACGUGGAUAACCUACCUAUAAGACUGGGAUAACUUCGGGAAACCGGAGCUGAUACCGGAUAAUAUAUUGAACCGCAUGGUUCAAUAGUGAAAGACGGUUUUGCUGUCACUUAUAGAUGGAUCCGCGCCGCAUUAGCUAGUUGGUAAGGUAACGGCUUACCAAGGCAACGAUGCGUAGCCGACCUGAGAGGGUGAUCAGCCACACUGGAACUGAGACACGGUCCAGACUCCUACGGGAGGCAGCAGUAGGGAAUCUUCCGCAAUGGGCGAAAGCCUGACGGAGCAACGCCGAGUGAGUGAUGAAGGUCUUCGGAUCGUAAAACUCUGUUAUUAGGGAAGAACAAAUGUGUAAGUAACUAUGCACGUCUUGACGGUACCUAAUCAGAAAGCCACGGCUAACUACGUG